rnacentral:tRNA from 1 species
CUCUGUAGCUCAGUUGGUAGAGCAGUGGACUGAAAAUCCACGUGUCACUGGUUCGAUUCCAGUCGGAGC